GCGGGAAUAGCUCAGGGGUAGAGCACAACAUUGCCAAGGUUGGGGUCGCGAGUUCGAAUCUCGUUUCCCGCUCCA
rnacentral:tRNA from 1 species